rnacentral:rRNA from 1 species
UACAGAGGUCUCAAGCGUUGUUCGGAUUCAUUGGGCGUAAAGGGUGCGUAGGCGGCGCGGUAAGUCGGGUGUGAAAUCUCGGAGCUUAACUCCGAAACUGCAUUCGAUACUGCCGUGCUUGAGGACUGGAGAGGAGACUGGAAUUUACGGUGUAGCGGUGAAAUGCGUAGAUAUCGUAAGGAAGACCAGUGGCGAAGGCGGGUCUCUGGACAGCAACUGACGCUGGAGGCACGAAGGCCAGGGGGAGCAAAACGG